rnacentral:rRNA from 1 species
CCCGCCGGCGACCGGCGCACGGGUGAGUAACACGUAUGAAACCUGCCCGUAGCAGGGGGAUAAGCGGAAGAAAUUCCGUCUAAUACCGCGUAACAACCCGAGGAGGCAUCUCCUCGGGUUUAAAGGAAGCGAUUCCGGCUACGGAUGGUCAUGCGUCGCAUUAGCUAGUUGGCGGGGUAACGGCCCACCAAGGCGACGAUGCGUAGGGGUUCUGAGAGGAAGGUCCCCCACACUGGUACUGAGACACGGACCAGACUCCUACGGAAGGCAGCAG